UUCAACGACAGGUUGUGACGGACGGAGUUCUUCCAGCCCUGGUAGGAUCCUCGGAAGAAGGGGAACCGCGCCUGGAGGAACUGGUAGAUCUCGCUGAG
rnacentral:miRNA from 1 species